GCAUGAAGACGCUGCUUUAUCUAACAGUCACCUUGGAGGAAACGCCAUCGUUCUUCCAGAAGGGAGAUCUGGCCCCCGGUCUUGGAUUCUGAGAUCAGUGCGAGAUCCCGGCUCUGCGCCCUGUCCGCCCUGGAACUGGAUUUAUCAUCAGUUUAGAAUAGCAUGGCUACGAUGUGUGGUGUGGAUGGAUGGACGAGCCCCGCAAGUGCAAACAGGACAGUCCAGGUUACCUGACAAAGCAGCCACCGGUGCACCAGCUGUCCAAGAUCAGACCUAGGUCAAUCACUGACAUGGCUAAAAGCACCAAGAAGGUCUGGAUCAUUGUGCUGCCUCACUCCAAAAAAUGGUGACAAAAAUUAAAAUCAACCAGCACGCCAGGAUCCUCUGUGGCAAGACCAAGAUAAUGUGGGCCACUGUCAUCUGGCACUGUGGUUCCUUCAUGACAACAAUGGCUGGUGGGUCCUGGGUUUACUACACCACUUCUGCUGUCAGUCAAACUAGCCAUCAGGAGACUGAAGGAAAUGAAAGACCAUAGAAGUGCUACUGUCUGAGCAGCCCUGGCCUCCAGUAAAUGAGUCAUUCCUAUGACAAAAUUAUAAUAAAAAGUGUUGGUUGAGUAA